CCCGAGAAACCCGAAAGAUUCGAAGGGAGGAGAUUCACCGCCAUUCGCGUGGUCGGCUUCUGCGAUUGGGUGUGAUGUGGCGUCGCUGCGUGCCGUGGUCCCUCGUGGGCUUCGCGUGCGUAUGCUGGCGUUGCACGCGCUCGCGUGGAUGAGCCCGGCUGCGUAGGCGUGCACUUCUUCUCCUUAGUAGAACGUCGCGACCCGCUGGGUGUCGUUUGAAGGUGUCUGGUUUGGUGUCUCUUGUGUCUAGAGUUUCGUACGCGGGCUCUUGCACUGGAACCGGCUGGCUCUGGAUCGACUGCCCGGCGGUAUGCAAUACGGUAUCGAGCCGCAGUGAACUUGAGCUGGAACUGCGUUCUGACCGUCGACCUUUUGCCUUGGUAGCCCGGAAUGUCGGUUUCGACCGUCCCCGGAGCCAGGUGAUUCGGCUCGUGCGUGUCUCGAACUGGCUCCAUAAGCCGCGGGGCGCUACGGCGCCCCCGGGAUACUCGUCAGCGACGCUAUUGCAUCGGGUACCCUCGGGAC
rnacentral:rRNA from 1 species